AUGCAGGCCAUCAAGGGUGUGGUGGUGGGAGACGGAGCUGUAGGUGAAACUUCCUACUGAUCAGUUACACAACCAAUGCAUUUCCUGGAGAAUAUAUCCCUACUGUCUUUGACAAUUAUUCUGCCAAUGUUGUGGUAGAUGGAAAACCGGUGAAUUUGGGCUUAUGGGAUACAGUUGCUCAAGAAGAUUAUGACAGAUUAUGCCCCCUACCCUAUCCGCAAACAGAUGUGUUCUUAAUUUGCUUUUCCCUUGUGAGUCCUGCAUCAUUUGAAAAAGUCCGUGCAAAGUGGUAUCCUGAGGUGGAGCACCACUGUCCCAACACUCCCAUCAUCCUAGUGGGAACUAAACUUGAACUUAGGGAUGAUACAGACACGACUGAGAAACUGAAGGAGAAGAAGCUGACUCCCAUCACCUAUCUGCAGGGUCUAGCCAUCACUAAGGAGAUUGGUGCUGUAAAAUACCUGAAGUGCUCGGCACUCACACAGCGAGGCCUCAACAGUGUUUGACAAAGAGAUCCAAGCAGUCCUCUGCCCACCUCCCGUGAAGAAGAGGAAGAGAAAAUGCCUGCUGUUGUAA
rnacentral:lncRNA from 1 species